AAAAAAUUACAUAUUGACGAAAAAUAAAUCUACAAAGUGAUCGUGGAUAUCCGGUCUAACAAAUUUUACUUUUCUCUAUCGAGUCGACAAUUUGGUGUCGUUUUUUAAUCACAGCAAACAAGUGUCAAAUUUAAGACCCAUUCCUUAACAUAUUGUGCUAAAAAAUAUUCCAACUUUCCAAGUCAGUGCCCAAAAGUCCUCACAGACCAAUGCCAUUUUACAUAAUGUAUCAAUCCUGCUAAAUUGAGAUAACUUUGGGUCUGUAUUUAAUCAUUUUGGGAUUGGUGUGGGGAGAACAAGAGCAAGACUCGAAUUGUUGUUUUGAGAAAAAAACAUAGGACAGAGAGAUCACUAAGAACCUAUCAGGGACUUCACUUUUUGUAUCAUCAGUGCAAGAGUUGGCUAAAGAGAAUUUGUCUAAUGUUCCACAAAGAUACAUUCAGCCUCAACAUCAAGACAUGGUUCUCAUCUCUGAAGAAGCUAAUAGUAGCCUUGAGAUUCCAGUUAUUGACAUGCAGAGGUUUGUUAUCUGUGGAAUCUGGGAGUUCAGAAUUGGAUAAGCUUCACCCUGCUUGCAGAGAAUGGGGAUUCUUCCAGCUGAUAAACCCUGGUGUUAGCUCUUCCUUGGUGGAGAAAGUAAAGUUGGAGAUUCAGGAUUUCUUCAACCUUCCAAUGUCAGAGACAUAUAUUAUAAGUAAUGGAAUAUACCGAAGUGUUGACCAUCAAUAGUGAACUCUGCAAAAGAAAGGAUUUCAAUUGCAACAUUCCACACGUCAAAACAUGAUGGGGUGAUAGGUCCGGCAAGGUUCAAAAGAAUCGAAUUUGGACUAGCUCAACAUACAUGAUCAACGCAUUUUGUUACCUUUAUCAAUACUCAUUAAAAUUUGCAGUCAAGUUCCAACCCCAUCCUCAUAGAUGAGUAUUUACCCUACCUAUUGCAGAUAUUUUUUUAGACACUUACAAGGUUGAGUAGAAUUGUCAUUCUUAUCUCCGAAUCUUUUGAUGUAAUUAUGAGCUCAUGGUGACAUAAUUCUUUUGAAAUAUUAUGCAUUACUUAAUUUGUGUUUUUUUUGGAAGAGAAAAUUUAUGAUUUUUGAGCAAUCACAGCCCAUACAUAAUAAAAUAGAAUUAAUAAAUGUGUAAAAAAAUUCGUUAAAGUAAUUAUUUUCUUUAAAUAUUUGUCUCAAAAAAGUGUUCUAAGAUAUGGGAUUCAUAUUGUUUCCUGUCACUAAAUUUUUUCAGUAAGAAAAAAAAUAAAAUAAUGGGUGUGUGUUUUCUCGUAAGGGAAAAAAAUAAUAACUGAGUGUCAGACAUUUAUUGUAUUUUUCUCUUUCCUAUGGAUAAGAUCCAUUACUAAAAAGGAGUUUAAUUCCUAAGAUAUUAUUAAGUUGUCACAAUCUCUAUUCUAAAACUUUAAGAUCAGUAACAUGUCACAUCUGAUUAAUCCUUUCUCUACAGAAAAUCUCAUCAUUAUUAUUAAUUUAUUUUUAAUCAAAUUAUAAAAACACAAUUUUAAUAGUUGAUUAUUUAUUUUAUUUUAAGAGUCUUAAGAUAUCAACCUUUCACAACUUGCGUUUCAAAAGGUUUAGUCAAUAAUAAAAAAUGUAUUCAUAACCCACAAAAAUGUUAUAGAGAAUGAAAUACUAACAUUUAUCUUACAAAAAAUGAAAUGUCUAAAAUCAAUACCCAUAGAUGCAUGAUGUGCUUAUGUAUGAUUGCUGUUAUAAAACACUUCCCAUCUUUCAUGUGAGAGGAAAGGUUAGGGUGAGGGAAAGCAGAGGAGAGUAGUCAGUUGUUAACAUUGAGAACAACAUAGGACGAAAAUGAAGACUUUAGCCAUGGAAGAGACCAUCAAGAACCUAUCAGGAACUUCACUUUUGGUAUCAUCAGUUCAAGAGUUGGCUAAACAGAAUUUGUCUAGUGUUCCUCAAAGAUACAUUCAGCCUCAAAAUGAAGACAUUGUGGUCUUAUCUGAAUAAUAUAAUAGUAUCCUUGUGAUUCCAAUUAUUGACAUGCAGAGCCUGCUCUCUGUGGAAUCUUGUAGUUCUAAAUUGACCAAGCUUCACCUUGCAUGCAAACAAUGGGGAUUCUUCCAGCUGAUAAACCAUGGGGUUAGCUCUUCCUUGGUGGAGAAAGUGAAGUAGGAGAUUCAAGAUUUCUUCAACCUUCCGAUGUCAGAGAAGAAAAAGUUUUGGCAGAGUCCACAACAUAUGGAGGGUUUUGGACAAGCAUUUGUUGUUAGUGAAGAGCAUCAACUUGAUUGGGCUGACCUUUUUUUUAUGACCACUCUUCCAAAACAUUUGAGAAUGCCCCACUUAUUUCCAAAGCUCACUCUUUUAUUCAGGUUAUCUUCCCUUUUUUUUUUUUUUUUUCUCUUCUCUCUCUCUCUCUUUCUUAAGUAAGUGUAAUCACUGAUCAGACCUCAUAUGUAGAUACUCUCUGAAUAAACUUCUAAGUAAGCAUUUAUAAUAUAAAAUAAUAAAAAAUGAAAUUCUAAAAACAAGUUUUUUUGCAUUAGUUAAAAUUAAUAUAAGCAUAACUAAUUGUUAGAAACUCUCUUAUAUUUACUAAUCCAAAAUCUAAGACUAAUUUCAACUUAUGAAAAGUUUAUUUUAUUUUAUUUUUUCAUUUCAAAGAGCUUGCAUGCCAUGCUAGAGUCACUUCUCUUUGUAACUCAGGAACACCUUAGAACUCUACUCACAGGAACUUAAAAAUCUAGCCAUGGUUGUUGUUGAACAAAUGGGAAAAGCUCUAAAGAUGGAAGAAACAGAAAUGAUAGAGUUUUUAAAGAUCGUAUGCAGACUAUGAGGAUGAACUAUUACCCACCAUGUCCUCAACCAGAGAAGGUUUUUGGCCUCACUUCCCAUUCAGAUGCAGCUAGUGAAGUAGAAGGGCUUCAGAUAAGGAAAUAUGGCAUGCCCUCCGAAUCUAUAUCCACCACUUGUCCCGCCACAACCCCUUCCGUACUGAUCGAUUUCACUAACUCCCCAGUCACGCCAACCACGCCUAUUUGCUUGUAAACUUGAUGGAAAGUCUUACCUAGACAUCAUGAGAAUUCAAAAAGUAGCCAACAUCCUGCAUGUAUUCGUCCUAGUAAUACUGUCACUAAUUUAUUGAAAAUCCCAAAUAGGCAUGAUAAUGGAGUCCGAACCGGAAUGUAUUUGGGACUCAUCCUGAUUUUGAUGAAGAAAAUCUGAAUUGAUGAGAGCCGAGGUCGGGUUUAAAUUUGUCUCGAUAGCCAAAAUUAGGGUUGGAAUCUGGGACGUGAUUAUUAAUAUCUGAGCCAAACCCUGCUAAUAAUUAAUUUUAAAAAAUAUCAUUACAUAUAUCUAACACAUUAAAAUAUAAAACUAUUGUAUUGAAUUUUUUACUA